rnacentral:rRNA from 1 species
GUGAACGCUGGCGGUAGGCCUAACACAUGCAAGUCGAACGGCAGCACAGUAAGAGCUUGCUCUUACGGGUGGCGAGUGGCGGACGGGUGAGGAAUACAUCGGAAUCUACUUUUUCGUGGGGGAUAACGUAGGGAAACUUACGCUAAUACCGCAUACGACCUACGGGUGAAAGCAGGGGAUCUUCGGACCUUGCGCGAUUGAAUGAGCCGAUGUCGGAUUAGCUAGUUGGCGGGGUAAAGGCCCACCAGGGCGACGAUCCGUAGCUGGUCUGAGAGGAUGAUCAGCCACACUGGAACUGAGACACGGUCCAGACUCCUACGGGAGGCAGCAGUGGGGAAUAUUGGACAAUGGGCGCAAGCCUGAUUCAGCCAUACCGCGUGGGUGAAGAAGGCCUUCGGGUUGUAAAGCCCUUUUGCUGGGAAAGAAAAGCAGCAGGUUAAUACCCCGCUGUUCUGACGGUACCCAAAGAAUAAGCACCGGCUAACUUCGUG